rnacentral:rRNA from 1 species
AUUGAACGCUGGCGGCAGGCUUAACACAUGCAAGUCGAGCGGAGAUGAGGUGCUUGCACCUUAUCUUAGCGGCGGACGGGUGAGUAAUGCUUAGGAAUCUGCCUAUUAGUGGGGGACAACAUUCCGAAAGGAAUGCUAAUACCGCAUACGUCCUACGGGAGAAAGCAGGGGAUCUUCGGACCUUGCGCUAAUAGAUGAGCCUAAGUCGGAUUAGCUAGUUGGUGGGGUAAAGGCCUACCAAGGCGACGAUCUGUAGCGGGUCUGAGAGGAUGGGCCGCCACACGGGAACUGAGACACGGCCCAGACUCCUACGGGAGGCAGCAGUGGGGAAUAUUGGACAAUGGGGGGAACCCUGAUCCGGCCAUGCCGCGUGUGUGAAGAAGGCCUUAUGGUUGUAAAGCACUUUAAGCGAGGAGGAGGCUACUCUAGUUAAUACCUAGGGAUAGUGGACGUUACUCGCAGAAUAAGCACCGGCUAACUCUGUGCCAGCCGCCGCCGUAA